rnacentral:tRNA from 1 species
GAUAGUAUGGCCGAGUGGUCUAUGGCGCUGGUUUUAGGCACCAGUCUCUUCGGAGGCAAGGGUUCGAAUCCCUUCACUGUCA